ACGCUGGCGGCGUGCCUAAUACAUGCAAGUAGAACGCUGAAGGAGGAGUUUGCUUCUCUGGAUGAGUUGCGAACGGGUGAGUAACGCGUAGGUAACCUGCCUGGUAGCGGGGGAUAACUAUUGGAAACGAUAGCUAAUACCGCAUAAUAGUAGAUGUUGCAUAACAUUUGCUUAAAAGGUGCAAUUGCAUCACUACCAGAUGGACCUGCGUUGUAUUAGCUAGUUGGUGGGGUAACGGCUCACCAAGGCGACGAUACAUAGCCGACCUGAGAGGGUGAUCGGCCACACUGGGACUGAGACACGGCCCAGACUCCUGCGGGAGGCAGCAGUAGGGAAUCUUCGGCAAUGGACGGAAGUCUGACCGAGCAACGCCGCGUGAGUGAAGAAGGUUUUCGGAUCGUAAAGCUCUGUUGUAAGAGAAGAACGAGUGUGAGAGUGGAAAGUUCACACUGUGACGGUAUCUUACCAGAAAGGGACGGCUAACUACGUGCCAGCAGCCGCGGUAAUACGUAGGUCCCGAGCGUUGUCCGGAUUUAUUGGGCGUAAAGCGAGCGCAGGCGGUUAGAUAAGUCUGAAGUUAAAGGCUGUGGCUUAACCAUAGUACGCUUUGGAAACUGUUUAACUUGAGUGCGAGAGGGGAGAGUGGAAUUCCAUGUGUAGCGGUGAAAUGCGUAGAUAUAUGGAGGAACACCGGUGGCGAAAGCGGCUCUCUGGCUUGUAACUGACGCUGAGGCUCGAAAGCGUGGGGAGCAAACAGGAUUAGAUACCCUGGUAGUCCACGCCGUAAACGAUGAGUGCUAGGUGUUAGACCCUUUCCGGGGUUUAGUGCCGUAGCUAACGCAUUAAGCACUCCGCCUGGGGAGUACGACCGCAAGGUUGAAACUCAAAGGAAUUGACGGGGGCCC
rnacentral:rRNA from 1 species